rnacentral:ncRNA from 1 species
UUAUGUUUGCCGCCGGGUAAACUUUAAAACAUUGAUUUCGUAUCGUUAGGCCAUAGAAGAUGCGAAAGUCAAUGUUUUUUAUUUU